rnacentral:lncRNA from 1 species
UUGGGAGAAUCUGGGCCCACCACUCCCCCAUCUCCCCUCCUAUAAAGCGACCUCCGAUACCAUCGUCCAUGGAGAACAAAAGCAAGAAGUCUGCUACCCAAUCCCAUCUACUGCUCCCCCAUCUCUCUUCCUGCUCGGUGGUGUACUUGUGGUGUCGACGAUGAGGAGCUCCAUGGCUCUGCUGGCGGCCGCGGCGGCGCUGCUGCUGCUGGUGUCGCUGGCGGCGGCGGCGGACAUGUCGAUCGUGUCGUACGGGGAGCGGAGCGAGGAGGAGGUGCGGCGGAUGUACGCCGAGUGGAUGUCCGAGCACCGCAGGACGUACAACGCCAUCGGCGAGGAGGAGCGCCGCUUCGAGGUGUUCCGGGACAACCUCCGCUACAUCGACCAGCACAACGCCGCCGCCGACGCCGGGCUCCACUCCUUCCGCCUCGGCCUCAACCGCUUCGCCGACCUCACCAACGAGGAGUACCGCAGCACCUACCUCGGCGCCCGGACCAAGCCGGACCGGGAGCGGAAGCUCAGCGCCAGGUACCAGGCC